GACGAACGCUGGCGGCGUGCUUAACACAUGCAAGUCGAACGAAGAGCGAUGGAAGCUUGCUUCUAUCAAUCUUAGUGGCGAACGGGUGAGUAACGCGUAAUCAACCUGCCCUUCAGAGGGGGACAACAGUUGGAAACGACUGCUAAUACCGCAUACGAUCCAAUCUCGGCAUCGGGACUGGAUGAAAGGUGGCCUCUAUUUAUAAGCUAUCACUGAAGGAGGGGAUUGCGUCUGAUUAGCUAGUUGGAGGGGUAACGGCCCACCAAGGCGAUGAUCAGUAGCCGGUCUGAGAGGAUGAACGGCCACAUUGGGACUGAGACACGGCCCAGACUCCUACGGGAGGCAGCAGUGGGGAAUCUUCCGCAAUGGACGAAAGUCUGACGGAGCAACGCCGCGUGAGUGAUGACGGCCUUCGGGUUGUAAAGCUCUGUUAAUCGGGACGAAUGGUUCUUGUGCGAAUAGUGCGAGGAUUUGACGGUACCGGAAUAGAAAGCCACGGCUAACUACGUA
rnacentral:rRNA from 1 species